AAAAAAAAAAAGUAACAACAGCACACAUGGAGAUGGAAAAGCUUCUUUUAAUUCUCUCAUGCACCAAUUUGCUUUACAAAAGCAUGUAAUUUCAAUAACAGCAAGUCUACUUGCAGCUUAUCUGUAAUUAUCGGUUGCACUUAUAAAAUAAUUUUCAAAGAUAUGAGCAGAAGGUGGUCAAAAGUAAAAACCUGUUUUUUAUCCAACUUGUGGGAAACAAUUUAUCUAUAACUGAGUAUUUCAUGGAAAAGAAAAAAGCUGUGCCAUUAUGAAUAUUCUGUACUAAACAAAACCCAAGAGGGGACAUUUAGGGUUCCACAUCUCACAUUUACUUUCAUUUGCACAGCAAGGGAGACGCACAGUAUUACCCCUACAACCACGGGCGAUUUUCCAUUUUAUCAUACAAAACUGUAGACCAAUUUUAUCCGUUAAUUAGAAUAGUUAUAGUUAUUUUAUUAAAGGAAUUAAUGAGAAAACUAAAAACUGAAUUUAGAAUUGAUUUUUGACAUUCAACACACAAUUGGUAUAAUACUAUGCAACAAGAUACCAGAGGAAAAAAAAAAAAAUUGCUGCAUAUCCUAUAUUUAAAAUUAAAGACAAGAUACUUCUAAUAAAGCACUGUUUAUAACAACACACGGAAAGUUCUGGUUGAGAAUAACGAAUUAUUUAGGAAUAGAGAGACGACACAGCACUUUUGCAGUCAUCUCUUUAUUCCUAAGUAAUUCAUUAAAGCACUGUUUCUAUUCUGUAAAAGAAUUUCUGAACACGUAAUUAAAAAAGUUAAUUAAAAAUUAAAUUGUAAGAGUACCUUAGUUGCCUGUGUGCUAAUACUAUGUAUUAUUGCAACUUUCAUUUGACGUGUCCAAUAUCAAUUGUGCUUUAUGAUAUGAAUAAAUUCAAUGCACGAAACAUAAAAAUCACGCUCAACUUUAUAAAACUUACUGAUAACAUCUCUUGAGUGUAGUGCACCCUGAAGCAAGGAUACCUACACAAGCUCGCUAAAAUGACUACAAAAUUGCCUGUGCGAGAAGGUGUACGUGUAAGUUUAUGGAUGAGAGCUGAGAAUGUGUAAAAUGUGACUUCCGAUGUUCCAGCACAACAUAAAAAGAUUUGGCGGGAAAAUAGUGACAUCUGACGUACAAACAGCCCACAAACUAUAUCCAACAGAGUAACGGCAUGCCCUGUGGAAUUGCACAGAAAGAACCGAACGCACAUGUGAGCAUCGCCCGCAGCUGAGGGUUAAGGUCUCUGCAGAUUAUUUAGGAAAAUUCCAUAAUGUGGUAUAAAGGAACCAGUGAAAUAAGGGUAAAGGAAUAAACUUGCAUAAAAAUAACAAAGAACCACUAAAAGUCAUGGCUGAAACUCCUUUCUGCUUUAAUAGCAGCAGAGACAAGAGCUGCCAAUUCCAUUUUUGAGCAAAAUAUUUUGACAAUUGAAGACUACUAGCUCAGCUGUCUAUUGUGCACAAAUUUGGAAAAACAACUCUAUUGGACACCCAAAAAUGUACUGUCUAUCAUACCGUGGAAAAAACAUGUUACCGUCAAAAAUGUACUGCACAGAACAUGGCUGUGUCCAAUCUGAUGCCUCCUUUUUCAUGCAAAUUUUUGCCCACUUACAGCUUCAAAACUGAAAGGCCUUCUGCAUUAAGUGAAAUAGCAUGCUCAGUCUGUACAAUUAAGAUAGAAUAACGCUCACAUCAAGCCGACAGAGCACUCGACAUAUGCAAAGCGAUCACUGGAAAAUGCGGCAGCCGUGCUGGAAUCUCCGUUAUAAUGAUACUUCCUUCUAUUUGUAAUCCAAUCUGAUACUUCACACUUACGUUACGAUACUACAAGAAUCUGUUCUACAAUCUACCAUCAAAAGGAAAAAAAAUCAGAACAACUAUGUGCUAACAUAAUUUAAGAAUGACUGGUUUAACAGCACAGUAUGCAAGCUUUCUGCAUGGAUGUUUGAUGCCAUAUGCUGACUUUUUCCUACUCUUCCAGCAGGUCACAUCCUGACCUAAUGGUACUUCGCUUCCGGUAACAAAUAUUGUGUUCUACAGGAAGUGCAGCAAAGGUAUUGGUGUAAUAAUGUGCAGUUGUGCUCUCGGGUAGGAGGGGUGGAAUGGUCCAGAAUAAGGGUCCCCGAGGUAUUGCCGAGAAUACCUGGCCCACUCUGGUAGGCCCGGCACUCGGCUGCUCUCCACUGUGUCGGGAUGCGAACCCUACACACUGACCUCCCCCUGACCACGCACCGCAGAAACGACCGACACCAGUGUAACUUACAGGCAACAAAAACAGUUACUUUUCUUGUAUAAAAUAUUAAUUCUCUUCUAAUCCUGUUAUGUCAACAACAAGGAGACAAAUACCAACACCAUAGAGAUUAUAACAAAAAUGCAAUUUAUGAAAUAAUCACAGCCCACGAGCAACAUAAUUUUCAGAACAGGAGAGACACCCAUAUGAGAACAAGUUAACCCUCACAUGGAAAUAAACCCCCUUUUUUUAAGGGGAGGAGGGAUAUUGCUUUGAAAGCCAACAAAAUGUUUUCAAUCAAUUUUCAGUCCACCUGCAACACCAAUUAUUAACAAAAUUUAACUGCACAUUACAGAUUUUGACUUCUCUAAGCAGCUUAUCUGCUCAAUAUCUGUCACCAGCUCAUGCAAGUUUACCACCAGCUCCUAAUUUACAUGCAAGAAUACUCUAUUUUGUCCACUAGGUGUAAAAAGACUACAAUCAAUUUUCUAGGACUUCAAUUUGUUAGUACAACCAGCCACCACUAUAAAACAGUAUUUAUGGUUCAUCAAUGAACAAACAUCUCUAAAAUUUUCUUGUUAAUGUCUAAUUUAUAAAGUUAGUUUUCAAAGACUAUCUCAUUUUCACUGACAGAA